UACGUAGGGGGCAAGCGUUGUCCGGAAUCAUUGGGCGUAAAGCGCGUGUAGGCGGUCCGGUAAGUCCGCUGUGAAAGUCGGGGGCUUAACCCUCGGAUGCCGGUGGAUACUGUCGGGCUCGAGCACAGUAGAGGCAGGUGGAAUUCCCGGUGUAGCGGUGGAAUGCGUAGAGAUCGGGAAGAACAUCGGUGGCGAAGGCGGCCUGCUGGGCUGUUGCUGACGCUGAGGCGCGACAGCGUGGGGAGCAAACAGG
rnacentral:rRNA from 1 species